rnacentral:rRNA from 1 species
AACGAACGCUGGCGGCAGGCCUAACACAUGCAAGUCGAGCGAGAUCUUCGGAUCUAGCGGCGGACGGGUGAGUAACGCGUGGGAAUAUGCCCUUUGGUACGGAAUAGCCUCGGGAAACUGGGAGUAAUACCGUAUGUGCCCCUCGGGGGAAAGAUUUAUCGCCAAAGGAUUAGCCCGCGUUGGAUUAGGUAGUUGGUGGGGUAAUGGCCUACCAAGCCUACGAUCCAUAGCUGGUUUGAGAGGAUGAUCAGCCACACUGGGACUGAGACACGGCCCAGACUCCUACGGGAGGCAGCAGUGGGGAAUCUUAGACAAUGGGGGAAACCCUGAUCUAGCCAUGCCGCGUGAUCGAUGAAGGCCUUAGGGUUGUAAAGAUCUUUCAGCUGGGAAGAUAAUGACGGUACCAGCAGAAGAAGCCCCGGCUAACUCCGUGCCAGCAGCCGCGGUAAUACGGAGGGGGCUAGCGUUGUUCGGAAUUACUGGGCGUAAAGCGCACGUAGGCGGAUUGGAAAGUUGGGGGUGAAAUCCCGGGGCUCAACCUCGGAACUGCCUCCAAAACUAUCAGUCUAGAGUUCGAGAGAGGUGAGUGGAAUUCCGAGUGUAGAGGUGAAAUUCGUAGAUAUUCGGAGGAACACCAGUGGCGAAGGCGGCUCACUGGCUCGAUACUGACGCUGAGGUGCGAAAGCGUGGGGAGCAAACA